UACAGAGGUCUCAAGCGUUUGUUCGGAUUCAUUGGGCGUAAAGGGUGCGUAGGCGGCGCGGUAAGUCGGGUGUGAAAUCUCGGAGCUUAACUCCGAAACUGCAUUCGAUACUGCGGUGCUUGAGGACUGGAGAGGAGACUGGAAUUCAUGGUGUAGCAGUGAAAUGCGUAGAGAUCAUGAGGAAGACCAGUGGCGAAGGCGGGUCUCUGGACAGUUCCUGACACUGAGACACGAAGGCCAGGGGAGCAAACGGG
rnacentral:rRNA from 1 species